rnacentral:rRNA from 1 species
CAGCCGCCACGGGAAAACGAAGGGGGCUAGCGUUGCUCGGAAUGACUGGGCGUAAAGGGCGCGUAGGCGGCGAUCAAAGUCAGGCGUGAAAUUCCUGGGCUCAACCUGGGGGCUGCGCUUGAUACUUGGUUGCUUGAGUGGGGAAGAGGGUCGUGGAAUUCCCAGUGUAGAGGUGAAAUUCGUAGAUAUUGGGAAGAACACCGGUGGCGAAGGCGGCGACCUGGUCCUUGACUGACGCUGAGGCGCGAAAGCGUGGGGGGCAAACAGGAUUAGAUACCCCAGUAGUCCCUGUCUCUUAUAC